UACGGAGGGGGCGAGCGUUAUUCGGAAUUAUUGGGCGUAAAGGGCGCGUAGGCGGCUUGGUAAGUCAAAGGUGAAAUCCCUCGGCUCAACUGAGGAAUUGCCUUUGAAACUGCCUGGCUCGAGGCCCGGGGAGGGGGGUAGCGGGAAUUCCCAGUGUAGCGGUGAAAUGCGUAGAUAUUGGGAGGAACACCGGUGGCGAAGGCGGCUACCUGGACCGGUUCUGACGCUGAUGCGC
rnacentral:rRNA from 1 species